GACAGAGGGUGCAAGCGUUGUUCGGAAUUACUGGGCGUAAAGGGCGUGUAGGCGGUCAAGUGUGUCUGACGUGAAAGCCCUCGGCUUAACCGGGGAAAGGCAUUGGAAACUACUUGACUUGAAUGUGAGAGGGGGUAGCGGAAUUCCUAGUGUAGAGGUGAAAUUCGUAGAUACUAGGAGGAACACCUGAGGCGAAGGCGGCUACCUGGCUCAUGAUUGACGCUGAGACGCGAAAGCGUGGGGAGCAAACAGG
rnacentral:rRNA from 1 species